rnacentral:rRNA from 1 species
UACAGAGGUCCCGAGCGUUGUUCGGAUUCAUUGGGCGUAAAGGGCGCGUAGGCGGCGGGGUAAGUCUGGUGUGAAAUCUAGGAGCUCAACUCCUAAACUGCACUGGAUACUGCUCUGCUAGAGGACUGGAGAGGAGACUGGAAUUCACGGUGUAGCAGUGAAAUUCGUAGAUAUCGAGAGGAACACCGGUGGCGAAGGCGGCGAUCUGGACGAUGACUGACGCUGAGACGCGAAAGCGUGGGGAGCAAACAGG